rnacentral:rRNA from 1 species
CUAUGUGGGAACCUUACCGUCGUUGCCUCGGCGGGCCGCGCUUACCCGGUAGCUACCCUGUAGCUACCCGGUAGGUGCGCUACAGGCCCGCCGGUGGACUACUAAACUCUGUUUUAAUACUGUAUCUCUGAAUGCUUCAACUUAAUAAGUUAAAACUUUCAACAACGGAUCUCUUGGUUCUGGCAUCGAUGAAGAACGCAGCGAAAUGCGAUAACUAAUGUGAAUUGCAGAAUUCAGUGAAUCAUCGAAUCUUUGAACGCACAUUGCGCCCAUUAGUAUUCUAGUGGGCAUGCCUAUUCGAGCGUCAUUUCAACCCUUAAGCCUAGCUGCUUAGUGUUGGGAAUCUGCCCCGUAACUUACGGGGCAGCUCCCUAAAGUCAUCGGCGGAGUUAGGGCAUACUCUAAGCGUAGUAAUAUUCUUCUCGCUUCUGUAGUUGUCCUGGCGGCUUGCCGUUAAACCCCCUCUAUUUUCUAGUGGUUGACCUCGG